GGGUAAGAGCGGGCAGAGGAGACAAAUGUGGGGACAAUCCGUGCAGGGGCCAAACUGAUGUGCAGGAGGGUCAAGGCGCUGGAGGUAGCGGAAGGAGGUGGGGAAAAUCAGAGACGGGGUAGUUAGGUACCAGGGUUAAGAAUGUGGCUAAGGCCCGGCCAGGCAGUAUCAGUGGGGAAACCCCAGGAUAAGUAAGGGCAGAGGAGUUAAAAGUGACAGCAAUGGGGGUGAGCAGUCUGCAGUGGUUGCAAAAAAGGAUGUUGAGGUGUCAAGGGGUUCCCCCCGGAGGGGGGGGGUGCUACACCUCAGCACCUGUUCCCAGGGCUGGGUUCUCUCACAGCUGCAUCCCAAGGCCCAGAGGCAUGGAGCUGCUAAAGGAGACCUGAUUCUGCACAAUAUUUCACAUACCCCCCUUCCCCCGCAAAGUUUUAGUGUUUAAAAUAAUCCCCGAUCAGUCGCUAUCUCUGCAUCAUGCCUCACUGAUGCAGGAAGGCUCUUGGUCUGCCUAAGGAUCCAUGAAUGGGAACGGUUCUGCUGGUGUCAGAGUGGGCUGGGAUGUAGGAGACCCAGGUCUCAAGCAGAGGAGGAAAGCAGAUUUGAACAGGGGUCGCCCACAUCCCAGGCUGAGGAAUCACGUCUGCGUUUUGCCCCAGAUCGUCCCGUCUCCAGGAGGCAGGGAAGGGAAAUGCCUGUGAUGGAGCCAGCUCAGAUGCCGGUGACCUUCGAGGAGGUGGCUGUGUAUUUCACCCAGGGGCAGGGG